AUCAUCCUCUAACCGCAAUAAUAAUGAUUAAACCCUAGUUAAAUAAAAUCUGCCAUUCUCUUUAUCAUCCCCGCCUCCAAAACUCUUUCUCCCCCACGUCAUCCUCAAUUAAACCCUAGUUAAAAAAUCCACCGUUCUCUUUAUCAUCGCCGCCUCCAAAACUCGUCGUGUCUUUCCCCCACGUCGUCCUCUCCACUCGUCGUCCGCUCUCGCUCCUCAUCGUCACCAGUUCCUCAUCCUUGGCUAGUUCGUCAUUGAAACCAAUAUUAACGUCGUCCUCGGCUAGCUUCAGUUCGUCAUCGAGACUCAUCGCCGUCUCCAUCUCGUCGUCGGCGAGAUUCGUCGUCGUCUCUAGUUAAUUGUCGUCAACACCUCUUCGUCGUUAUAGUUUCUCAUUAUCGUCUUUAGUUCGUUUCUAGAUCUCUUCGUCGUCGAGAUCUCUUCGUCAUUGAGCAACUCCACAGCACCGCCCAGCGUCGUCGUCGCCGAGACCCCUUCGCCGCCGUCGAUACCUCUUCCUCUAUCUCGGCGGCUCGACGGAGAUUCAAAGAGAAAAAAGAAGUUGCAGAACCAGAAGCUGAUCCUAAAAGGGACCAGAGAACUGUUUUGCUUAUCAAAUGCAUUUGAAAGCGACAGAGAGGGAUGUUUAUGAAUUCUUCUCAAAAGCAGGAAAGUAAAUGCUCAUGUGCCUUCAAUGAGGCCUAUUAUAAUGACUUUUUUGUGGCUCAACAUUCUUUUAUUUGGUGAGUGUGAAAAGAAUUGGAAGUCUGAUUGCUCACCAUAUUGGGUGCAGUCCUUAGGGUGAUGUUAUGUGUAGUAAGCAUGUCAAUGCAUUUUUAAGCUGCAAACUGUACAAGUAUUACUUCAUUAAUGAUGUCAGAUUUAUAAACAAUUAAUUUAUGGCUUCCAGGUUAGAGACGUGCGGCUGAUCAUGGAUCGAAACUCAAGACGAUCAAAAGGAGUUGGGAACUACUUUGAAAGAUUUGAGAGGACCACUCCCUAGUCAAUCUGUUCUGGAAGCACAGGUU